GGAGAGGUGUCCGAGUGGCCGAAGGAGCACGCUUGGAAAGCGUGUAGGCGGGUAAAACUGCCUCGCGGGUUCGAAUCCCGCCCUCUCCG
rfam:Planctomycetes bacterium GWA2_40_7 gwa2_scaffold_1746, whole genome shotgun sequence.